rnacentral:rRNA from 1 species
UACGGGGGGAGCAAGCGUUGUUCGGAUUUACUGGGCGUAAAGGGCGCGUAGGCGGUCAGCACAAGUCAGUUGUGAAAUCUCCGGGCUUAACCCGGAAAGGUCAACUGAUACUGUGCGACUAGAGUGCGGAAGGGGCAACUGGAAUUCUCGGUGUAGCGGUGAAAUGCGUAGAUAUCGAGAGGAACACCUGCGGCGAAGGCGGGUUGCUGGGCUGACACUGACGCUGAUGCGCGAAAGCCAGGGGAGCGAACGGG